rnacentral:rRNA from 1 species
GACGAACGCUGGCGGCGUGCUUAACACAUGCAAGUCGAACGGAAAGGCCCUGCUUUUGUGGGGUGCUCGAGUGGCGAACGGGUGAGUAACACGUGAGUAACCUUCCCUUGACUUUGGGAUAACUUCAGGAAACUGGGGCUAAUACCGGAUAGGAGCUCCUGCUGCAUGGUGGGGGUUGGAAAGUUUCGGCGGUUGGGGAUGGACUCGCGGCUUAUCAGCUUGUUGGUGGGGUAGUGGCUUACCAAGGCUUUGACGGGUAGCCGGCCUGAGAGGGUGACCGGCCACAUUGGGACGGAGAUACGGCCCAGACUCCUACGGGAGGCAACAGUGGGGAAUAUUGCACAAUGGGCGGAAGCCUGAUGCAGCAACGCCGCGUGCGGGAUGACGGCCUUCGGGUUGUAAACCGCUUUCGCCUGUGACGAAGCGUGAGUGACGGUAAUGGGUAAAGAAGCACCGGCUAACUACGU